rnacentral:rRNA from 1 species
AUUGAACGCUGGCGGCAGGCCUAACACAUGCAAGUCGAACGAGUGGCGGACGGGUGAGUAAUGUCUGGGAAACUGCCUGAUGGAGGGGGAUAACUACUGGAAACGGUAGCUAAUACCGCAUACCAUCGGAUGUGCCCAGAUGGGAGUAGCUAGUAGGUGGGGUAAAGGCUCACCUAGGCGACGAUCCCUAGCUGGUCUGAGAGGAUGACCAGCCACACUGGAACUGAGACACGGUCCAGACUCCUACGGGAGGCAGCAGUGGGGAAUAGUGCACAAUGGGCGCAAGCCUGAUGCAGACAUGCCGCGUGUAUGAAGAAGGCCUUCGGGUUGGAAAGUACUGUCAGCGGGGAGGCGUUACCCGCAGAAGAAGCACCGGCUAACUCCGUGCCAGCAGCCGCGGUAAUUC